rnacentral:rRNA from 1 species
AGUGAACGCUGGCGGUAGGCCUAACACAUGCAAGUCGAACGGCAGCACAGUAAGAGCUUGCUCUUACGGGUGGCGAGUGGCGGACGGGUGAGGAAUACAUCGGAAUCUACUUUUUCGUGGGGGAUAACGUAGGGAAACUUACGCUAAUACCGCAUACGACCUACGGGUGAAAGCAGGGGAUCUUCGGACCUUGCGCGAUUGAAUGAGCCGAUGUCGGAUUAGCUAGUUGGCGGAGUAAAGGCCCACCAAGGCGACGAUCCGUAGCUGGUCUGAGAGGAUGAUCAGCCACACUGGAACUGAGACACGGUCCAGACUCCUACGGGAGGCAGCAGUGGGGAAUAUUGGACAAUGGGCGCAAGCCUGAUCCAGCCAUACCGCGUGGGUGAAGAAGGCCUUCGGGUUGUAAAGCCCUUUUGUUGGGAAAGAAAAGCAGCAGGUUAAUACCCCACUGUUCUGACGGUACCCAAAGAAUAAGCACCGGCUAACUUCGUG